rnacentral:rRNA from 1 species
GAUUAACGCUAGCGGCAGGCCUAAUACAUGCAAGUCGAACGGGAUUCAAAGUAGCAAUAUCGCUGACGAGUGGCGUACGGGUGCGUAACACGUACACAACCUGCCUUAUACUGGAGCAUAGCCUCGGGAAACUGAGAUUAAUUCUCCAUAAUGUUAUGAAGUGGCAUCACUAUAUAACUAAAACUCCGGUGGUAUAAGAUGGGUGUGCGUCCGAUUAGCUAGUUGGUGAGGUAACGGCUCACCAAGGCGACGAUCGGUAGCUGGUCUGAGAGGAUGAUCAGCCACACGGGCACUGAGACACGGGCCCGACUCCUACGGGAGGCAGCAGUAGGGAAUAUUGGACAAUGGGCGCAAGCCUGAUCCAGCCAUCCCGCGUGAAGGAUUAAGGUCCUAUGGAUUGUAAACUUCUUUUCUCUGGGAAUAAAAACCGGGAUUCAUUCCUGGCUUGAAGGUACCAGAGGAAUAAGCACCGGCUAACUCCGUGCC